rnacentral:rRNA from 1 species
UGGCUUGGAAGCAGCCAUUCAUUUAAAGAGUGCGUAACAGCUCACUAGUCGAGCGUUCCUGCGCGGAAAAUAAUCGGGCAUCAAAUAAUUCACCGAAGCUAUGGAUUUGUCUUCGGACAAGUGGUAGGGGAGCAUUGUAGUGGGGUAGAAGGCGUGCUGUGAGGCAUGUUGGACUAGCUACAAAAGCAAAUGUAGGCAUGAGUAACGAUAAAACGGAUGAGAAAUCCGUUCGCCGUAAGACUAAGGUUUCCUCGUUCGAUGUUAAUCAGAACAGGGUUAGUCGGGACCUAAGGCAAACCCGAGAGGGGUAGUCGAUGGACAACUGGUUAAUAUUCCAGUACUUGCAUACACUAAAAAGGGGACGGCGUCAUGUAGACUGCGCGUAGUGACGGAUUACUGCGCUGAGGGAAAGGCUUAGGCUAGAACCGAGUAGUUGAGUUGACGUCCAAGAAAAGCCGAAGUAUGCAACCCGUACCGUAAACCGACACAGGUAGUCGAGGAGAGUAUCCUAAGGCGCUCGAGUGAUUCAUGGUUAAGGAACUAGGCAAAAUCGCCCCGUAACUUCGGGAGAAGGGGCGCUCUGAAAAUAAAUUUAGAGCCGCAGUGAAAAGGCCCAGGCGACUGUUUAGCAAAAACACAGGACUUUGCAAAAUCGAAAGAUGAAGUAUAAGGUCUGACACCUGCCCGGUGCUGGAAGGUUAAGGAAGGUACUUAGGAGCAAUUCGAAGGUGCUAACUGAAGCCCCAGUAAACGGCGGCCGUAACUAUAACGGUCCUAAGGUAGCGAAAUUCCUUGUCGGGUAAGUUCCGACCUGCACGAAUGGUGCAACGAUCUGGGCACUGUCUCAACCAUGAGCUCGGUGAAAUUGAAGUAUCGGUGAAGAUGCCGAUUACCCGCAACGGGACGGAAAGACCCCGUGAACCUUUACUAUAGCUUAACGUUGAUAUUGAAUAUUUAGUGUGUAGGAUAGGUGGGAAACUUUGAAGCAGCCUCGUUAGGGGUUGUGGAGUUGUUCUUGAAAUACCACCCUCUAAUUAUUUGAUAUCUAAUCUUUUUGAAACAGCGUUUGGUGGGUAGUUUGACUGGGGUGGUCGCCUCCAAAAGAGUAACGGAGGCUUCUAAAGGUUCCCUCAGCACGGUUGGUAAUCGUGCGUAGAGUGCAAUGGCAUAAGGGAGCUUGACUGAGAGACCUACAAGUCGAUCAGGUACGAAAGUAGAGCAUAGUGAUCCGGUGGUUCCGCAUGGAAGGGCCAUCGCUCAAAGGAUAAAAGGUACUCCGGGGAUAACAGGCUGAUCUCCCCCAAGAGCUCAUAUCGACGGGGGGGUUUGGCACCUCGAUGUCGGCUCGUCACAUCCUGGGGCUGGAGAAGGUCCCAAGGGUUGGGCUGUUCGCCCAUUAAAGUGGCACGCGAGCUGGGUUCAGAACGUCGCAAGACAGUUCGGUCCCUAUCUGUUGCGGGCGUAGGAAUAUUGCGGAGAUUUGUCUCUAGUACGAGAGGACCGAGAUGAACUGACCUCUAGUGUAUCAGUUGUGGCGCCAGCUGCAUUGCUGAGUAGCUAUGUCGGGAACGGAUAAGCGCUGAAAGCAUCUAAGCGCGAAGCCAACUCCAAGAUGAGUAUUCCAGUUCUUCGGAACGAAGGGUCGUAGAAGAUGACUACGUAGAUAGGCUAUAGAUGGAAGUGCAGUGAUGCAUGAAGUCAAGUAGUACUAAUUACCCGAUAGCUUCCUUUUUUUCUU